CCGCUGGCGGCGUGGCUAAGACAUGCAAGUCGCACGGUGUAGCAAUACACAGUGGCGAACGGGUGAGUAAUGAAUCGCUAAUGUACCCCGGACUCUGGGAUAGCUAUCCGAAAGGGUAGGUAAUACCAGAUGACAUAACCUUGUCGCAUGACAGGGUUCUCAAAGGUCCGCUGGUCUGGGAGCAGGCGAUUUCGUAUCAGCUAGUUGGUGAGGUAACGGCUCACCAAGGCGACGACGCGUAGCCGGACUGAGAGGUUGGCCGGCCACAUUGGGACUGAGACACUGCCCAGACUCCUACGGGGGGCUGCAGUAACGAAUCUUCCGCAAUGCACGAAAGUGUGACGGAGCGACGCCGCGUGUGGGACGAAGUCCUUCGGGAUGUAAACCACUGUCAGGGGUAAGAAAGUUCUGAUCUACCCCAGAGGAAGGCACGGCUAACUCUGUGCCAGCAGCCGCGGUAAGACAGAGGUGCCGAACGUUAGGCGGAAUCACUGGGCUUAAAGCGUGUGUAGGCGGACUUCUAAGUACCUUGUGAAAUCCCACGGUCAACCGUGGAACUGCUUGGUAUACUGGUUGUCUUGAACCCCUUAGGGC
rnacentral:rRNA from 1 species